rnacentral:lncRNA from 7 species
GUUUCUGCUUUCGGCAGCGGCGGAUGAGGAGCCGCGGAUAUUUUGCAUUUUUCAACUCGGGCCCUCCGUAAGGCACAGCAUCCAGCAGCAAACGUCCCAGGAUGGUUUGUGCCACUUGUGGGCUCCGAGGGGUGGAUGGGCUCUGGCAAAACGUGCACGGACUGUCAGAGUGCUGCUGCUCAUCCCAAAUCCAACGUGCUGAGCCCACCUGGGCUGUGCGUGCUGUUGUGUGACUGCGGAAGAUGGGGCACAAAGGGCUCCUUGGGUGCUCUGUAUGGCACAGCAGAGGACGAGCCAAGCCAGCAUCUGAGAGGUCCCCAGCAGCUCCUGCAAGGCGCUGAACAACGUCUGCUGCUCCCCAAAGGCUGAAAGCACUCCCGGCCAUCACACGCCGCUCUCUUCGCUGCCGACGCCGCUUUUAAGAUGAAUGAUGUGAGAAAUGCUGCAAAGCAUCAGAGGUCGAGGAGCUGCCUCAGUGCACCGACACCGUUCUGCGUGGAGGCUGCGGCUCAGCUGAGCGCCCCUCCGGGGAGAGAGAGAAGUGGGGAAAAACGACAACCAGAAAAGAUUGGUGGACUUUGGUUUUCGUAUGCACCUGUGUUUGUAUCAUGCCUGAACCUGCAAAGAGUAACACGUGGUUAUUCGCAUGGAAUCCAGUAAAUGGUGAACCUG